rfam:Salmo salar isolate Sally breed double haploid chromosome ssa24, whole genome shotgun sequence.
UGCAUUCACUACUGUAAGUUGCUCUGGAUAAGAGUGUCUGCUGAAUGACUAAAA